CAAUAGCGUAUAUUAAAGUUGUUGCAGUUAAAAAGCUCGUAGUUGGAUUUCUGGUGGGAGCGAUCGGUCUGGCGCUUAGCGCGAGUACUUGCAUCGUCUCCGGCCAUCCUUGGGGAGAGUCUGUCUGGCAUUAAGUUGUCGGGCAGAGGAUCCUCAUCGUUUACUGUGAAAAAAUUAGAGUGUUCAAAGCAGGCUUAUGCCGUUGAAUAUAUUAGCAUGGAAUAAUAAGAUAGGACUUUGGUACUAUUUUGUUGGUUUGCGCACCAAAGUAAUGAUUAAUAGGGACAGUUGGGGUAUUCGUAUUCCGUUGUCAGAGGUGAAAUUCUUGGAUUUACGGAAGACGAACUACUGCGAAAGCAUUUACCAAGGAUGUUUUCAUUAA
rnacentral:rRNA from 1 species